GGUUGGCAGAAUUCCAGCGAUCUUUCAUAUGAGUUGAAUCCGAAGCCUAUUAUAAAGGAUUGUCCCGGAGUGCCCCAGUAUCAACGUAAUAUUGGAAUGUUCUUUGAUGAUAUUGUAGAUGAGGGGCUAGUUAAAAUGGUAUCAGUAAGAAUUCCUGGCAUUGCUAAGGACUGUCAAGUAACACUUCAGGUAAACGCCAGGACACCAUGUAACUUUGGACCUGUGGC